rnacentral:rRNA from 1 species
UACGGAGGGUGCGAGCGUUGUCCGGAAUCAUUGGGCGUAAAGGGCGCGUAGGUGGCCUGAUAAGGGUGUGGUGAAAGUCCGGGGCUCAACCCCGGAUCUGCCGUGCCGACUGUUGGGCUGGAGUACUGUAGGGGCAGGCGGAAUUCCGGGUGUAGCGGUGGAAUGCGCAGAUAUCAGGAGGAACACCGGUGGCGAAGGCGGGUCUCUGGGCAGUAACUGACGCUGAGGAGCGAAAGCGUGGGGAGCGAACAGG